GACAGAGGGUGCAAACGUUGUUCGGAAUUACUGGGCGUAAAGCGCGUGUAGGCGGCCCUGCAAGUCGGAUGUGAAAUCCCACGGCUCAACCGUGGAAGUGCAUUCGAAACUGCAGGGCUAAGAGCCUGGAGAGGAAGGUGGAAUGCUUGGUGUAGAGGUGAAAUUCGUAGAAUAUCAAGCGGAACACCGGUGGCGGAAGGCGGCCUUGCUGGACGAGUG
rnacentral:rRNA from 1 species